AAUCCAUAGGUUAAUGAGGCGAACCGGGGGAACUGAAACAUCUAAGUACCCCGAGGAAAAGAAAUCAACCGAGAUUCCCCCAGUAGCGGCGAGCGAACGGGGAGGAGCCCAGAGCCUGAAUCAGCAUGUGUGUUAGUGGAAGCGUCUGGAAAGGCGCGCGAUACAGGGUGACAGCCCCGUACACAAAAGCGCAUGUGCUGUGAGCUCGAUGAGUAGGGCGGGACACGUGGUAUCCUGUCUGAAUAUGGGGGGACCAUCCUCCAAGGCUAAAUACUCCUGACUGACCGAUAGUGAACCAGUACCGUGAGGGAAAGGCGAAAAGAACCCCGGCGAGGGGAGUGAAAAAGAACCUGAAACCGUGUACGUACAAGCAGUGGGAGCACAGGUUUACCUGUGUGACUGCGUACCUUUUGUAUAAUGGGUCAGCGACUUAUAUUCUGUAGCAAGGUUAACCGUA
rnacentral:rRNA from 1 species